rnacentral:rRNA from 1 species
AAAUAAGCAUAUCAAUAAGCGGAGGAAAAGAAACCAACAGGGAUUGCCCUAGUAACGGCGAGUGAAGCGGCAACAGCUCAAAUUUGAAAUCUGGCUCUUUUAGAGUCCGAGUUGUAAUUUGCAGAGGGCGCUUUGGCUUUGGCAGCGGUCCAAGUUCCUUGGAACAGGACGUCACAGAGGGUGAGAAUCCCGUACGUGGUCGCUGGCUAUUGCCGUGUAAAGCCCCUUCGACGAGUCGAGUUGUUUGGGAAUGCAGCUCUAAAUGGGAGGUACAUUUCUUCUAAAGCUAAAUAUUGGCCAGAGACCGAUAGCGCACAAGUAGAGUGAUCGAAAGAUGAAAAGCACUUUGGAAAGAGAGUCAAACAGCACGUGAAAUUGUUGAAAGGGAAGCGCUUGCAGCCAGACUUGCUUACAGUUGCUCAUCCGGGUUUCUACCCGGUGCACUCUUCUGUAGGCAGGCCAGCAUCAGUUUGGGCGGUAGGAUAAAGGUCUCUGUCACGUACCUCCUUUCGGGGAGGCCUUAUAGGGGAGACGACAUACUACCAGCCUGGACUGAGGUCCGCGCAUCUGCUAGGAUGCUGGCGUAAUGGCUGUAAGCGGCCCGUCUUGAAACACGGACCAAGGAGUCUAACAUCUAUGCGAGUGUUUGGGUGUCAAGCCCGAGCGCGUAAUGAAAGUGAACGGAGGUGGGAACCCGCAAGGGUGCACCAUCGACCGAUCCUGAUGUCUUCGGAAGGAUUUGAGUAAGAGCAUGGCUGUUGGGACCCGAAAGAUGGUGAACUAUGCUUGAAUAGGGUGAAGCCAGAGGAAACUCUGGUGGAGGCUCGCAGCGGUUCUGACGUGCAAAUCGAUCGUCAAAUUUGGGCAUAGGGGCGAAAGACUAAUCGAACUAUCUAGUAGCUGGUUCCUGCCGAUUCCCCCCCU